rnacentral:lncRNA from 1 species
UCAAGGGUUAGGGUACAUCAAUUGGGUAGGGUUUUUGGGUUUAAGGUUGAAUGUUAGAAGAUCCUGAUUGAGCUUCAAUUGAAGAUAUGGGUUGUAAGGUGGUUCCUAGGGCGACCUAGGGUGGCUCAGGUGGUGGUUUUGGUCUUUAGGGAGGGGACAAAGCAGACGAGUUAGAAAGAGGCGAGAGAAGAGAAGAAAAGAGAAUGAUAGGUCUUAGAGAGAGAAAGAGAGGUAGAAAAUAAGAGUUCUUGAAGGAAGCUCCCAUAAAU